UCCAGCUUAUCGCUGGCGGUCUCCUGCGAGUUCCGCCUUUCGGCAUGGCAACACAGGACAAGGGUUGCGCUCGUUGCGGGACUUAACCCAACAUCUCACGACACGAGCUGACGACAGCCAUGCAGCACCUCGACUCCCGUCCCUUGCGGGAAAACCUUGUUUCCAGAGUCGGCGUGAGCCGUUCGAGCCCAGGUAAGGUUCUUCGCGUUGCGUCGAAUUGAACCACAUGCUCCACCGCUUGUGCGGGCCCCCGUCAAUUCCUUUGAGUUUCAACCUUGCGGCCGUAGUCCCCAGGCGGUUCACUUAAUGCGUUAGCUGCGGCACUGAGGGAAACCCCCAACACCUAGUGAACAUAGUUUAGGGCCAAGACUAC
rnacentral:misc_RNA from 1 species